GUGCGUAGGCGGCUUCUUAAGUCUGGUGUGAAAUCUCCCGGCUCAACUGGGAGGGUGCGCCGGAUACUGAGGGGCUAGAGUGUGGGAGAGGAAAGUGGAAUUCCUGGUGUAGCGGUGAAAUGCGUAGAUAUCAGGAGGAACACCGGUGGUGUAAACGGCUUUCUGGACCAUAACUGACGCUGAGGCACGAAAGCGUGGGUAGCAAACAGGAUUAGAUACCCUGGUAGUCCACGCCCUAAACGAUGCAUAUUUGGUGUGGGCCAUUCAUUUGGUCCGUGCCGGAGCUAACGCGUUAAAUAUGCCGCCUGGGGAGUACAGUCGCAAGGCUGAAACUCAAAGGAAUUGACGGGGGCCCGCACAAGCGGUGGAGCAUGUGGUUUAAUUCGACGCAACGCGAAGAACCUUACCUGGGCUCGAAAUGCUGUGGACCAGCCUGUGAAAGCAGGCCUUCCCGCAAGGGGACCGCAGUAUAGGUGCUGCAUGGCUGUCGUCAGCUCGUGUCGUGAGAUGUUGGGUUAAGUCCCGCAACGAGCGCAACCCUUGUCCUGUGUU
rnacentral:rRNA from 1 species